rnacentral:rRNA from 1 species
AUUGAACGCUGGCGGCAGGCCUAACACAUGCAAGUCGAACGAGUGGCGGACGGGUGAGUAUUGUCUGGGAGACUGCCCGAUGGAGGGGGAUAACUACUGGAAACGGUAGCUAAUACCGCAUACCCUCGGAUGUGCCCAGAUGGGAUGAGCUGGUGGGUGGGGUAACGGCUCACCUAGGCGACGAUCCCUAUCUGGGCUGAGAGGAGUAGCAGCCACACUGGAACUGAGACACGGUCCAGACUCCUACGGGAGGCAGCAGUGGGGAAUAUUGCACAAGGGGCGCAAGCCUGAUGCAGCCAUGCAGCGUGUAUGAAGAAGGCCUUCGGGUUGUAAAGUACUUUCAGCGAGGAGGCGUUACUCGCAGAAGAAGCACCGGCUAACUCCGUGCCAGCAGCCGCGGUAAUAC